UACGAAGGGGGCUAGCGUUGUUCGGAUUUACUGGGCGUAAAGCGCACGUAGGCGGAUCUUUAAGUCAGAGGUGAAAUCCCAAGGCUCAACCUUGGAACUGCCUUUGAUACUGGGGAUCUUGAGUUCGGGAGAGGUGAGUGGAACUGCGAGUGUAGAGGUGAAAUUCGUAGAUAUUCGCAAGAACACCAGUGGCGAAGGCGGCUCACUGGCCCGAUACUGACGCUGAGGCACGAAAGCGUGGGGAGCAAACAGG
rnacentral:rRNA from 1 species